GAACAACUCUCAGCAACGGAUAUCUCGGCUCUUGCAUCGAUGAAGAACGCAGCGAAAUGCGAUAAGUGGUGUGAAUUGCAGAAUCCCGUGAACCAUCGAGUCUUUGAACGCAAGUUGCGCCCAAGGCCAUCAGGCCAAGGGCACGCCUGCCUGGGCAUUGCGA
rnacentral:rRNA from 4 species